GAAGGGUGCAAGCGUUAAUCGGAAUUACUGGGCGUAAAGCGUGCGUAGGCGGUUUCUUAAGUCCGUUGUGAAAGCCCUGGGCUCAACCUGGGAACUGCGAUGGAUACUGAGGAGCUGGAGUACGGUAGAGGAAGGUGGAAUUCCCGGUGUAGCGGUGAAAUGCGUAGAGAUCGGGAGGAACAUCAGUGGCGAAGGCGGCCUUCUGGACCAGUACUGACGCUGAGGCACGAAAGCGUGGGGAGCAAACAGGAUUAGAUACCCUGGUAGUCCACGCCCUAAACGAUGCGGACUGGACGUUGGGCACAACUUGGUGCUCAGUGUCGAAGCUAACGCGUUAAGUCCGCCGCCUGGGGAGUACGCUCGCAAGAGUG
rnacentral:rRNA from 1 species